rnacentral:rRNA from 1 species
GCGAAGCUAUUGCAUUUACUUAAAAUUAAAUUUUAAGAGAGUGUCCCUUUUUCUUUUUAUAAAAAAUUGGAUGGCUUUUAAGAGAGUGGUCCCUUUUUAUUUUAAAAAUUUGAAAACCUUUUAAAGAGGGAGGGUCCAUUUUUUAUGUAGUUACUACUUUGUGGUUUAAAAUUCUAGAUAGAAUUAUGAUGAUGACAUUAUCUAUCUAUAAGUCUUGACCAAAAUACGUGCCAGCAGUCGCGGUAAUACGUAAAAGACAAGUGUUAUUCAUCUUUAUUGGGUUUAAAGAGUACCAAGACGGUUAAUAAAGCCCAAAAUACAUGAGCACGGGGGACACAUUAACUAGAGUUAUAUGAAAGGAAGCACUAAAGUACUGUUGAGUGUAGAGAUAAAAUUCUAUCAUACCAGAUAAAGGCACAGAUUUAUGCGAAGGCAUCUUCUUAUGUAAUAACUGACGUUGUAGGACGAAGGCUUUUUAAGUGAAGAGGAUUAGAGACCCUUGUAAUCUAAGCAGAAAAUGAUGAAUGUCAUAGGUUUAAUAUAUUAUUGGGUCUAUAAAUGAAAGUGUAAGCAUUCCACCUCAAGAGUAAUUUGGCAACAUUGGAACUGAAAUCAUUAGACCGUUUCUGAAACCAGUAGUGAAGUAUGUUGUUUAAUUAGAUGAUACACAAAAAACCUUACCACAAUUUGAAUAUAUAUCUUUAAAGAUAUUUACAAGCGUUGCACGGCUGUCUUCAGUUAAUGUCGUGAGAUUGUGGUUAGUUCCAUAAAAUUAACGUAAACCCUCGUUUUAUUUAUAAAUAAAAUUUAGAUCUAUUUCAAG